rnacentral:lncRNA from 1 species
GUUUGCCUGAAGUGAGUGUAGCAUUUACUUUUUGUUCAUCUACAAACAACAUGAUGCUUAUCUUUUCUCCCCUGCUGUUUUUGUGCUCAGUGUCACAGGCUACAACAUUGCCUCCAACAACCUUGGCUUCUCCCACGGUUGCUCCUUCAACAGUGGCUCCUGAAGAAACGUUCUCUCUGCAGCUGGAGGCCAUACCAGACUACCCAGUUGCAGAAGGUCAAAGAGUCAACCUGCACUGCAAGGCUUUCACCAUGCCAGACUCUGUCAAGUGGUCCUUGGAACGCCUAGAAAAUCAGACUUGGCAUGUGAUGAAAAUCGGUGGGGAUCUGACCCUCACCAAGCCAGAGCAGAGCGGGCUUUACUGCUGCCGUGCAAAGAGCCAGUUGUCUCAAAACCACACAGUCUAUAUAAUCUCCAUGCAUACAACAGUCAGUGAGUAUUUAGGAAUAGCUGCCUUUGUCUUUUCUCUCCUGGCCUUGAUCAUCAACUUUGCUCAUCUUUUUUGGCUGGGCUACCAGAGACUUGAUGCCACAUUAACCACUCCCAACAUUGCAGCUCAAGGUUUUCCUGGACCUGAAAAAUCACCAAAGGGAGGUUUGCCACACACUGAAAGUGACGGAGAUGUGUACAUGAAUUACACAAACACCAGCCAAGACUACACUGACCUGGACCCCACCAAUAUGACUGAGGAAAAUGUGUACUCAAGUCUAUCAUGAACGAUCAUGUGAAGGUGGAGAUAUGCAAAAGAAAGACCAAAAAAAGCAUUUUGUUCAGCAGUAGAAUAUCUGAUAAAGAACUCAGCAUUACCUUUAACCUGAAUAUUAAAUGUUUGUUUGUAUUUACCGUAAUCUAAUUUAACACAAUCUGAAUGUGGUAAAAAUUGUAAAAAUGUUCCCACAAAACACAAAGAGG